AUGCUCAUUGGUCCGGCAAGAUCCCUAUUCAUGGAUGAGAUCUCGAAUGGGCUUGACAGCUCAACUGCAUUUCAGAUAGUGAAUUUCCUAGGGCAAUUGGUCCACAUACUUGGGGGAACGGCUGUCAUCUCUUUACUUCAACCAUCACCUGAAACAUAUGAUCUUUUUGAUGAUGUCAUGCUCCUAUCAGAGGGGCAUGUUGUCUACCAAGGGCCCAAAGAGAACGUGAUUGAGUUUUUUGAGUCCCUAGGCUUCCGAUGUCCCCAGAGAAAAGCUAUUGUCGACUUCUUGUUAGAAUUAAAGAUCAAAAGCAUUACUGGACAAGGGAUGGUCAACCUUAUCAGUACAUCACUGUGGAGA
rnacentral:rRNA from 1 species